rnacentral:rRNA from 1 species
UACGAAGGGGGCUAGCGUUGCUCGGAAUCACUGGGCGUAAAGCGCACGUAGGCGGAUCUUUAAGUCAGGGGUGAAAUCCUGGAGCUCAACUCCAGAACUGCCUUUGAUACUGGGGAUCUCGAGUCCGGAAGAGGUGAGUGGAACUCCGAGUGUAGAGGUGAAAUUCGUAGAUAUUCGGAAGAACACCAAUGGCGAAGGCAGCUCGCUGGGACGGUACUGACGCUGAGACGCGAAAGCGUGGGGAGCAAACAGG